rnacentral:rRNA from 1 species
UACGUAGGGGGCAAGCGUUGUCCGGAUUAUUGGGCGUAAAGAGCGUGUAGGCGGUUUGGUAGGUCCGCUGUGAAAACUCGAGCUCAACCUCGAGACGCCGGUGGAAACCAUCAGACUAGAGUCCGGAAGAGGAGAGUGGAAUUCCUGGUGUAGCGGUGAAAUGCGCAGAUAUCAGGAAGAACACCCGUGGCUAAGGCGGCUCUCUAGUACGGUACUGACGCUGAGACGCGAAAGCGUGGGGAGCGAACAGG